ACGUGGGAACGUACCUUUUGGUGGGGGACAACAUCUGGAAACGGAUGCUAAUACCGCAUAAGACCUGAGGGUGAAAGAUUUAUCGCCGAAAGAACGGCCCGCGGAAGAUUAGGCAGUUGGUGGGGUAAAGGCCUACCAAACCUACGAUCUAUAGCUGGUCUGAGAGGACGAUCAGCCACACUGGAACUGAGACACGGUCCAGACUCCUACGGGAGGCAGCAGUGAGGAAUAUUGGGCAAUGGAGGCAACUCUGACCCAGCCAUGCCGCGUGAGUGAAGAAGGUUUUCGGAUUGUAAAGCUCUUUCGGAUGUGACGAUGAUGACGGUAGCAUCUAAAGAAGCCCCGGCUAACUUCGUGCCAGCAGCCGCGGUAAUACGAAGGGGGCGAGCGUUGUUCGGAAUUACUGGGCGUAAAGGGUGUGUAGGCGGUUAUGUAAGAUAGCGGUGAAAUCCCGGGGCUUAACCUCGGAAUAGCCGUUAUAACUAUGUAGCUAGAGUUAUGGAGAGGAUAGCGGAAUACCCAGUGUAGAGGUGAAAUUCGUAGAUAUUGGGUAGAACACCGGUGGCGAAGGCGGCUAUCUGGCCAUAUACUGACGCUGAGGCACGAAAGCAUGGGGAUCAAACAGGAUUAGAUACCCUGGUAGUCCAUGCUGUAAACGAUGAAUGCUGGUUGUCGGCUUUAGGGUCGGUGACGAAGUUAACGCGAUAAGCAUUCCGCCUGGGGAGUACGGUCGCAAGAUUAAAACUCAAAGGAAUUGACGGGGACCCGCACAAGCGGUGGAGCAUGUGGUUUAAUUCGAUGCAACGCGAAGAACCUUACCAACUCUUGACAUCCUUAUCGGGGGGCGCAGAGAUGAGCCCUUUCAGUUAGGCUGGAUAAGUGACAGAUGCUGCAUGGCUGUCGUCAGCUCGUGUCGUGAGAUGUUGGGUUAAGUCCCGCAACG
rnacentral:rRNA from 1 species